CAGAAUGAGGAAGUAAAAACAAACACACUUUCUGUCAACAAGAAAAGCCGGUAGUGUGGUUGUAUUUGUAUGUGAAUAGUUGUACAAACUUAGCGCUCUUAAAGAUGACCUGUUUUGACAAGUGUAAUAGCGGUCUUUAUAGACAUGUAGCUACAAAUCUACGAUUGGGCAAGAGAGUUUCGAGGAUCUCUGGUUUCAGUAACUUGGCUAGCUAGCUAAACCCUCUGGCAAUUUACUGACAACUUGGCUAGUUAUUUAGUCAAUGAAAAUCAGGUGUUGACCACCGAUCAUUCGGGACUGGAGCUCAUCAUGUCAGACUGCGACAAGACCGUUGAUCAUCCCACUUCUCUCAACAACGGGGGCGGUCGUAAUAGGCAUGACCCGGCGGAUGAGCAGUCCACUCCACACGCCAAGCAAAGGAAAUGUCAAUGAAUAUGAUAACAGUUAUACCACUGAAGACGACCUCACAGUGUUGGUCCCUCAAGGGUUGUCCUUCAUGUUGAUCUCAAUAACCCCAUAUUGGUGUCUGACGCCGUGACAAUUCAAGGAACUAUUGCAGCCUUGGAUUAUUGUAUUUAAAUUGUGGCAUGGGGACAAAUGCGUAAACAAGGUAAUCCAGCCGGGUUGCAAUAUAGGUGACGAGCCUCAGGUAGGCCAGGGGACCGCAGUCAAGGAAGGUAAAUGGGAGUGGAUGAGUGACUCACCUUCUCUACUUCCACCAUGAGAGUGCGCUGUCAGCUAUCACUUCCAGUUUGGCUGGGUGGCAGGCUUCACCAGGUCGGCGGUUCUGGGGCGUGCUGGACCACUGGAGCCUGCCCUCCUUCUUCCAGCUACUGAAGUAUCUGGUGGCAGAGGGGAGGGACUUUGCCAUCCUGUGCCAUACCUUUGGCUGAGACCUUCCUCGGGUGCUGUCUGCCGUGUCCCGUGCACUCACUCAGGGCUCCCACCCACUGUUCCCCGACCUCCCAGCACUUAAGGUAUGAUGAGGGCUUUAGGUGGUGUGAUGCUGGAUUUGAUGUCAUUAAGACAAUAGCUAUAAUGACUUUGUUGUCCUGGCAUUUUACCAAGCUCUUACUCACUGCCAUAUUAAAUGUGCACAUUGCUCUUAUCAUAAUCACUACUGUUAUGUUAGCUACUCUAUCAAUAGCCCAGUAAUUGCAAUCAUUACUCAUUGUAGGCUGCUACCAUGUUACAGCUUGUCAUUUAUGGGGGGGGUGGCUUGUGUUUGUGAGGUUGUGGCAGUGGGAUACAGGGGUCCAAAUCUGAAAACUUGUUCCAGGAACAGUGCCUUUUAAAACAAACUCACAGAAGGUCAUUCACGGUGAGACGUAUUAUGGGUUGGGGGUGACUGGUGAGGUGAGUGGUGCUACUCCCCUGGGUAUAGAGUGGCUGCAGGCCCUUGUCAUCCUCCUCAGUGUGUUCCUGUACCAGUUAGUUUACUGGAGCAGAACACAUGGAUUUCUGCAGGGGGGGGGCUGAGGCUGCCUUACACGGUUAGCUGCAGUAUAAAAACAUCCACAUGAUGAGUUAUUCAAACUGUCUCCUGUCAAGGCCUAUUUGUGUAGGAAUAUCGGCAGGGAGGGUGAAAGAAGAUAAUUUGAUUUAGCAGAACUUGCAGGACGACCUGUAAGCUUCAUUGUUUAUUCUCAUUCUAAAAGGAUACUAAAGUCCAGACAAUUUUCAUGAUUUCCGAUUGAUACCUGAUAGACUGUUAACCCUUUCAUCUCUAAUGCACUGCUGCUGGUAGGGUAUGAGAGAUGUUGAAGUAGGCUGUGUUCUUUGUAAUAGAUUCAUAAGAUCAUAAGAACAUAUAUAUAAGUGUGAAUAACUAGCUUACUAACAUUUACAAAUGCGGGAGUAAUGAUUACUAAAUGAUUAAUCUAACUAUUUACUAAUCCAUUAUAAAUGCUUUAUUACGAGGUGGUAUUAUAUAGUGCUACUCCUUUCUCCUCCCUCCCAGCUGAGUGUGAUUGAGACGCCAGGCCAGAUCCACUGCAGUAAGAAGGGAGUGGUUCUGACCAGGCCAGAUCCACUGCAGUAAGAAGGGGGUGGUUCUGACCAGGCCAGAUCCACUGCAGUAAGAAGGGGGUGGUUCUGACCAGGCCAGAUCUGCUGCAGUAAGAAGGGGGUGGUUCUGACCAGGCCAGAUCCGCUGCAGUAAGAAGGGGGUGGUUCUGACCAGGCCAGAUCCACUGCAGUAAGAAGGGGGUGGUUCUGACUAGGCCAGAUCCACUGCAGUAAGAAGGGGGUGGUUCUGACCAGGGCGGAGGAGCGCCUGUCGACCCGUGACAGGGAGCAAGCCCUGACCAGUACCUCAGCUCUGUGCAGGACCUGGUAGGCUUUCAGGACCACUUUGACUGGUAGGUGGACCCGUCCCAAAAGGCUUGAAAUCUUAUCACACAAAUGGAGGUGCCCUAGUUUGCUGCCAAGCUCAUAAAUCCAUUGUUUAAUAGGUCAUUUAGUCCAAGUAUUACAGUAAUUGUAAUGGAGAAGUUGUGCUCUGUAUUGACCUCCAUGAAGGUUUCAGUGUUCGUGAUGUAGUCAGGGCACUGGUCUCUCUCUCUGUAGGUGGGCCAGGUACACCUACUCCAUCCUGGUAGGGAAGCUUCUGUGGCUGGACCUCUUCAACCAGGAAGUCCAGCACAUAUUCAUUGAUGACAACAUCCGGCAGAACGAUGAGGACACCGUCGUCCAUCCAAAGGUCCAUGUCUGGUUCUAAAGGUGUUCCUGGACUGAGACGCCUCAGAGACCCGCAUAACCUCCACCUCAGAGCUGUAUGUCCUCUGUCUGGUCCAGAACAACCGUUCAGAGCCAUCUCAGACCCAGGGUACUUCAGCCAGCGCAUCAGCAUCUGCCAGGAGAACUAUGACAGGAAGUGGUUUGUCUGCAGCCCAGAGCCCCAGGGUGAGGGUUUGGGUGAACUCAGGGGUUCUGCACACUGGAGGGUGGAGGUUAAGGUAGCUGCUGUUGUUGCUCCUACUCCUCCUCCUCUAAGGUCGGUAUUCUCAGGGUGUGUGACACUGACAACCAAUAUAUUACAAUUAUGUAAAAACUAGGUAAUCAAUAUAAAGGCAUUGUUUAUGUAUACCAAAACCUGUUAAGAAUAUACAGGUAAUAUACUUCACUGUUUCUAAUAUCAGAUUGAGAGAGUGAGACUGUUAUAACUUCACACAUGCUUUAGUCAACAGACAUGUUACAAUACUUUUAGAACCACAAUUAGUCUUACCGUUUGACUAUUUAUAAUGGCAAUACAACGGAUGAGCUUGAUACAGCUACGCCCAAAUAUAAUUUGGGUGUAUUUGGUUUGCGGGUUUGUUUGUUUGCGCGGAAAUUUACUUUACUUACUUUGGAAGCGCUCUUAUGUGGAAAACAUUUUCUCAAUGAUAUAUCCAGGGAAUGUGUUUUACACUUUUUGUGGAAGGUUGUGUUGAAGGUUUAUAAUAUUUAAUUUUAAGCUUGAAUGGAGUUUGCCAUUUGACUACUGCAAAUUUGAGACACCAUUUCUAAGUAACCCAUCACAAUGACCGGUGGGGUAAUUGUGGAAGAUGAGGCACAAUCAGGCCUUUGACUGCAGUACAUAACUGAGACUGUUCAAUUCUAAGAAACAGAGGAAUGGGGGCAUUGUUGCUAAGACAACAGUCAUAUUUGAUGGGAGACACAUUCAGAUUGUCUAUUUGAACCGACUGCACUCACGAAGUCUGAAUGCUUGAAUCUGGAUGUACUUUGUGUGUUCUUGUAUGUCAUUGUCUCAAGUCAGAUAGUGUGACUAAUCAUCUGGUUAGGGGAAGAGGGUUGCGUAGGAGUGACACCACCUGACGUAAGACAAUGCUUGUGUGUUUCAUGGUGAACAUUCUAAACUAUCAGCUUGUACUCGU